GACGAACGCUGGCGGCGUGCCUAAUACAUGCAAGUAGAACGCUGAAGAGAGGAGCUUGCUCUUCUUGGAUGAGUUGCGAACGGGUGAGUAACGCGUAGGUAACCUGCCUGGUAGCGGGGGAUAACUAUUGGAGACGAUAGCUAAUACCGCAUAAAAUUGAUUAUUGCAUGAUAAUUAAUUGAAAGAUGCAACUGCAUCACUACCAGAUGGACCUGCGUUGUAUUAGCUAGUUGGUGAGGUAACGGCUCACCAAGGCGACGAUACAUAGCCGACCUGAGAGGGUGAUCGGCCACACUGGGACUGAGACACGGCCCAGACUCCUACGGGAGGCAGCAGUAGGGAAUCUUCGGCAAUGGGGGGAACCCUGACCGAGCAACGCCGCGUGAGUGAAGAAGGUUUUCGGAUCGUAAAGCUCUGUUGUAAGAGAAGAACGGGUGUGAGAGUGGAAAGUUCACACUGUGACGGUAUCUUACCAGAAAGGGACGGCUAACUACGUGCCAGCAGCCGCGGUAAUACGUAGGUCCCGAGCGUUGUCCGGAUUUAUUGGGCGUAAAGCGAGCGCAGGCGGUUAGAUAAGUCUGAAGUUAAAGGCUGUGGCUUAACCAUAGUAUGCUUUGGAAACUGUUUAACUUGAGUGCAGAAGGGGAGAGUGGAAUUCCAUGUGUAGCGGUGAAAUGCGUAGAUAUAUGGAGGAACACCGGUGGCGAAAGCGGCUCUCUGGUCUGUAACUGACGCUGAGGCUCGAAAGCGUGGGGAGCAAGCAGGAUUAGAUACCCUGGUAGUCCACGCCGUAAACGAUGAGUGCUAGGUGUUAGGCCCUUUCCGAGGCUUAGUGCCGCAGCUAACGCAUUAAGCACUCCGCCUGGGGAGUACGACCGCAAGGUUGAAACUCAAAGGAAUUGACGGGGGCCCGCACAAGCGGUGGAGCAUGUGGUUUAAUUCGAAGCAACGCGAAGAACCUUACCAGGUCUUGACAUCCCUCUGACCGCUCUAGAGAUAGAGUUUUCCUUCGGGACAGAGGUGACAGGUGGUGCAUGGUUGUCGUCAGCUCGUGUCGUGAGAUGUUGGGUUAAGUCCCGCAACGAGCGCAACCCCUAUUGUUAGUUGCCAUCAUUCAGUUGGGUACUCUAGCGAGACUGCCGGUAAUAAACCGGAGGAAGGUGGGGAUGACGUCAAAUCAUCAUGCCCCUUAUGACCUGGGCUACACACGUGCUACAAUGGCUGGUACAACGAGUCGCAAGCCGGUGACGGCAAGCUAAUCUCUGAAAGCCAGUCUCAGUUCGGAUUGUAGGCUGCAACUCGCCUACAUGAAGUCGGAAUCGCUAGUAAUCGCGGAUCAGCACGCCGCGGUGAAUACGUUCCCGGGCCU
rnacentral:rRNA from 1 species